rnacentral:rRNA from 1 species
CAUGUAGGCGGUUUUUUAAGUCCGGAGUGAAAAUGCGGGGCUCAACCCCGUAUGGCUCUGGAUACUGGAAGACUUGAGUGCAGGAGAGGAAAGGGGAAUUCCCAGUGUAGCGGUGAAAUGCGUGGAUAUUGGGAGGAACACCAGUGGCGAAGGCGCCUUUCUGGACUGUGUCUGACGCUGAGAUGCGAAAGCCAGGGUAGCAACG